AUUCCAGCUCCAAUAGCGUAUAUUAAAAUUGCUGCAGUUAAAAAGCUCGUAGUUGGAUCUGCGGUUAGGGCUUGCGGUCCACCACGCGGUGGCACUGCUCGUCCCGACCUACAUCGAAUUGACCCGCGUUGCUCUUCACUGAGUGACCGGGAAGGCUCGAACGUUUACUUUGAAAAAAUUAGAGUGUUCAUAGCAGGCAGUCCGCCCGAAUAAUGUUGCAUGGAAUAAUGGAAUAGGACCUCGGUUCUAUUUUGUUGGUUUUCGGAAUUGAGGUAAUGAUUAAUAGGGACGGCCGGGGGCGUUCGUAUUACGGUGUUAGAGGUGAAAUUCUGGGAUCAUCGUAAGACGAACUACAGCGAAAGCAUUUGCCAAGAAUGUUUUCAUCG
rnacentral:rRNA from 1 species